rnacentral:rRNA from 1 species
UACGAAGGGUGCAAGCGUUGUUCGGAUUUAUUGGGCGUAAAGCGCGCGCAGGCGGAUCAGCAAGUCAGAUGUGAAAUCUCAGGGCUCAACCCUGAAACUGCGUCUGAAACUGCUAGUCUAGAGUGUCGGAGGGGACAGGGGAAUUUCACGUGUAGGGGUAAAAUCCGUAGAGAUGUGAAGGAACACCGGAGGCGAAGGCGCCUGUCUAGACGACUACUGACGCUGAGGCGCGAAAGCGUGGGGAGCAAACAGG